GGAGAAGUGGCCGAGCGGCUGAAGGCGCUCCCCUGCUAAGGGAGGAUAGGGCGUAAAACUCUAUCGAGGGUUCGAAUCCCUCCCUCUCCGCCA
rnacentral:tRNA from 1 species